AUUUCGGUAGUCUAAAGGCUUAGGACGCUCGCACGGAAUGCAAGAGAUCCGGGUUCGACUCCCGGCCGAGGCA
rfam:Trachymyrmex septentrionalis contig11818, whole genome shotgun sequence.